rnacentral:rRNA from 1 species
UGGGGAAUAUUGCACAAUGGGCGCAAGCCUGAUGCAGCCAUGCCGCGUGUAUGAAGAAGGCCUUCGGGUUGUAAAGUACUUUCAGCGAGGAGGAAGGCGUUGUGGUUAAUAACCGCAGCGAUUGACGUUACUCGCAGAAGAAGCACCGGCUAACUCCGUGCCAGCAGCCGCGGUAAUACGGAGGGUGCAAGCGGUAAUCGGAAUUACUGGGUGUAAAGCGCACGCAGGCGGUCUGUCAAGUCGGAUGUGAAAUCCCCGGGCUCAACCUGGGAACUGGAUCCGAAACUGGCAGGCUAGAGUCUUGUAGGGGGGGGUAGAAUUCCAGGUGUAGCGGUGAAAUGCGUAGAGAUCUGGAGGAGUACCGGUGGCGAAGGCGGCCCCCUGGACAAAGACUGACGCUCAGGUGCGAAAGCGUGGGGAGCAAACA